ACCAAUCAAACCAAGUUCAGGUACUUUAGACCAUAAAGUGCACGUUUCAGCUUGCACACUUUACCUUGAGUUUUGUCACAAGAAAAACCCGGAGGAAUCUCCAUAUAUACCUCCUCUUCUAACUCUCCAUGAAGAAAGGCAUUCUUCACAUCUAACCGUUGAAGAUCUUAUCCCCGGUUAACAGCACACGAAAGUAGUACUUGAAUAAUAUUCAACUUGGCAACAUGAGCAAAGGUUUCUUGAUAGUCAAUUCCUAAAGUCUAAGUAAAUCCCUUUGCCACUAACCAUGCUUUAUAUUUGUCCAUAGCACCAUCCAUCUUUUGUUUGAUUACAAUCGCCCACUUACAUCCUACCGAUUGUUUUCCAGGAGGGAGAACAACAAGAUCCCAUGUGUCAUUUUUCUUCAAAGCAUACAUCUCUUCCACCAUUGCUGCCUUUCCACUUCUCAUCUGCAAAAGCUUCCCGCCAAUUUUGUAAAAUAGAAAUAGAAGAUAUAGAAGACACAAAAGUACGAUAAGAGCUAGACAAAAAGUCAUAUGAGACAAAUUAGGAUAUAGAGUGUUGAGUACAAGAUCUAGUACCCUUUCGAAGUGCAAUAGGAAGAUCAGAAGAAGAAACCAUACCAAGAGUAGUAGAAUCCGGAUCGGUAGAUGAUGAUUGAACAGGCAAUGUGUUAGUCGUCUUAACUCGCUUGUUGGUAGUGGGCUCCCUAUGACGAUUUGUCUUCAAUGUCUUGCUCCUAUCUAUAGUUUGCCUAACAAGAGUGGGAGUAGACUCCCCCUGAAGUGGUUGCUUUGCUAUCUCCUCUUGUGUCACUGUACUAUCCUCUUGUGUUGCAUUGUUCUCCUCUUGGGAAGGAGGAGAAUCAUCAGAAACUAUUGGAGAAGAAUGGUAAGUAAUAUCCAUAGAAACAUCUAGAGUAGGGAACACCUAUACACGAGGACACUCUCCCUAAAGAAGUGGAGCUGAAUAAUAGGAAUUAGACUCGUGAAAAACCACAUCCAUAGAUACGAUGGUGCACCUAGAAGGAGAAUGAUAACACUUAUAACCCUUUUGAGUGGGUGAAUACCCAAGAAAAAUGCAACGGAGACCACGGGGUUCCAACUUACUCUUAGAGGUGGUGUUACGAGCAUAACAAACGCAAUAAAAAAAUUUUGGGGUAAGAAUAAAAGUUGAUGAUCCCUCCAAAACA